GACGGAGGGGGCAAGCGUUGUUCGGAAUUACUGGGCGUAAAGCGCGCGUAGGCGGCUUUGCAAGUCGGGUGUGAAAUCCCCAGGCUUAACCUGGGAACUGCAUUCGAGACUGCAUUGCUAGAGUAUGGGAGAGGGAAGUGGAAUUUCCGGUGUAGCGGUGAAAUGCGUAGAUAUCGGAAGGAACAUCAGUGGCGAAAGCGGCCUGCUGGGCUGUUGCUGACGCUGAGGCGCGACAGCGUGGGGAGCAAACAGG
rnacentral:rRNA from 1 species